rnacentral:rRNA from 1 species
GACGUAGGGCGCAAGCGUUGUCCGGAUUUAUUGGGCGUAAAGAGCUCGUAGGCGGCUCGUUGCGUCGGCUGUGAAAUCCCGCGGCUCAACUGCGGGUCUGCAGUCGAUACGGGCAGGCUAGAGUUCGGUAGGGGAGACUGGAAUUCUUGGUGUAGCGGUGAAAUGCGUAGAUAUCAAGAGGAACACCUGCGGCGAAGGCGGGUCUCUGGGCCGAUACUGACGCUGAGGAGCGAAAGCGUGGGGGAGCGAACAGG